rnacentral:rRNA from 1 species
UACGUAGGUGGCGAGCGUUGUCCGGAAUUAUUGGGCGUAAAGAGCUCGUAGGCGGUUUGUCGCGUCUGCUGUGAAAACUCGGGGCUUAACUCCGGGCCUGCAGUGGGUACGGGCAGACUAGAGUGCGGUAGGGGAGACUGGAAUUCCUGGUGUAGCGGUGAAAUGCGCAGAUAUCAGGAGGAACACCGGUGGCGAAGGCGGGUCUCUGGGCCGUAACUGACGCUGAGGAGCGAAAGCGUGGGGAGCGAACAGG